UUAAAGUCUAUGUCUGGUGAAUUUUUGAUUAACACACAUUUGUUCUUCAUUCAGAGGUGAGAGUCCAGAAAUGAGCGUCCACACGAAAAAUAAAGUCAAUAGUUACAACACUAUUUUCUAAUAAAGUUGCUAAGCUUCAGCUCAUUGAUAAGCUGGUCGUAGGUCGCCAUCUUUCUUGAAGCCAAGUAGCAUGAAGACAACGCCCCUCUUCAUUAUCACAAUGAAGCAGAAAUGAAUAAGGAAAUGGAAACAGCACAGGGAGAAAUAAAUGUGGGAACAUAAGUAAAAUAAUAAACAAAUAAAUAAAUAAAACAAAUAAAUGCAUACUGUAAAUAAAUAAAUAGAUAAAUACAAAUAAGAAUGAAAAAGCCAGUUAUUUAUUAAUUUAAUUGUAUCUGAAAUGGCUCUCCUUAAUCUUCAGACAGAGAAAGAAAUGUGUGUGUGAUUUUUAGUUGGUGUAUAUUAAUAUCUGGUUUCAACUGUAGUAUUGUAGCAUGUUAAUUUUAUACAUUUUGGUUUUCUACUGUAAUUGUAUAGCACAAAGUAACUUCACAAAUAAGAUUUUUUUUAUUAUUUUUAUGAUAAUUUCAUGUGUGAUGUAGUAUAAACGUGGAAAAAACAUUAACAGCAGGCAGUUCAUUCAUUAACAAUGAGGAAGAUUGUGGAUAAGACAUUAUGGAUUUUGCUAGAGAGGGGCUCUGACAGAAUGCACUUUCAACAUGAAGUAACAGGAGAAAACAAGAAGUCGAAGAAACACUAAAAUAGAGCAGAGCAGGAUAUGUUCAAGCUGAAUCAGAUCCCAGUUCUUUGAGUUGAUCUUAAACAAACAACAUUAAUUUAAGUCAUUUCUUGAGGGUAAAAUGACUCAAGCUGCAUAGAGAAGGAGGUUCAUGGCAAUCAAAAUGCUAAUGCAGUACAAAUGAAUUACUGUUAAAGCAAAGCAUAAUGAAAUGAAAGUAAGGUCUGACAGCAACAGGUUUAAAUACAGAGCUUCUCAUUUCGCCUCGCUUCGCCCAUGCAGAAAAAGUGAGAAACUGUAAGAAGAAAAGGAUUUUAUGGAGGAGCUCUGGACAGAAGUGAAGAGCAACUAAAAUGGAUAUGGGAUUGAUAACUUUAUGCAACAAAGCUUUAAAAUAUUUGUAAGGAUUCAGAUGAAAUUCUUAAAGCUGCAAUAUGUAACUUUCAUUAAAAAAAUUGUAUAUAUUUGUUGAAGUCAUCACUGUGUUGUGACAGUAUGGUAAGAAACAGAUCUAUGGGAAAAUAAAAAAUAAAAAAUCAAGCUCCUCUGCCAUUUCAUAGCGUUAUCUAGAAACAACCAAUGGGAGCCAGUAGGAGAAUCUUAGUGCUGUCAAUCACCACUUCACAGCUGCUCACCAUGUGCAAUGUGCACAUUUAGCCCAUCAGCCAGGAGGACAAUGGUUGUUCUUAGGCAGGAUGACUCAGAAGUGGUGCAUUUCUUCAGACAGGAUUAGCAGCUCAGAGUGAAGGAGAUUGAUCUGUUCAUAUAUUUUUUUUUCUCUCAUAUUAUACUUUCACAAUAUAGCAACAGUUUUAACAAAUAUGUAAAAAAAAAUUUCUAAAAGUUACACACAGCACCUUUAAAAGGAAUUAUUGUUAUUUUCUAAUCAGGUCAAGUGACAUAUACACAUGGUCACAGAGGUAAUAAUGAAUACAAAAUCGAGCUCCUCUGCCAUUUCACAGUGUUAUCUAGAAACAACCAAUGGGAGCCAGGUUAUAUGAAAAUGAACAAAUGAAAGUCAGACAUGGCUUUUCAGAUAUGGUUUAACAGAUUAUUUUUAAAAAAAAAUAAACCCAUGAAACAAGCCUGGACAAAAAUGAUCAGAGCCAGCCCAAGCCUCCAUGGGGCCCUAAGCAAAAUUUGGUUUUUGGGCCCUCUAUUUCUGCUAAUAAUGUGGAUUGCUGCAAUCAACAGUCAGACAAUUAGAUCAUUCAUACAACUGCUAAACUCAUUGAGAAGCAUAAAGAGGAAGCGAAGGAUUCUGGGACCAACAAUAAAAUCAGGAGAUUAGAAAGAAAACUAGAGACAAGCAGUUAAAAGUACAGGUUAUAAGACCAUCUCCAAGCAGCUUGGACUGUGACUACAGUUGUACAUAUUAUUCAGAAAUUUAAGAUCCAUGGGACUGUAGCCAACCUCCUUGGACGUGGCAACAUGAGGAAAAUCCAUGACAAAACAAAGAGAUGGAUAAAAUGAAUGGUAGGAGUCCUAUUGUGCAUCUUUGGAAGGAGCUGAAACAUAUCGUCUGGAAAAGGCUUCAAACUUGAGACAACUGGAGCAGUUUGCUCAUGAGUGGGAUAAAAUACCUGCUGAGAGGUUCAGAAGUCUCAUGGACAGUUAUAUGAAUGUUUGAUUGCAGUGAUUGCCUCAAAAGGUUGUGCAACAAAAUAUGAAGUUAAGGGUACCAUCAAAAAGAAUGGUAUCCAGGGCUGUUUCAUGAGUUUAUUUUUUUAAAUAAUUCUGUAGAAGCAUGUUUGAAAAGCCAUGCUUGACUUUAAUUUGUUCAUUUUCAUAGAAUGUUUAUUCAUUAUUACCUCUGUCAGAUUCAAGUUAUUUCUGUGAUCAUUGUGGGUUAUUUUUUCAUUAACUGAGGGGAACCAACAAUUUUGCCCAUGUGUGUAGUACUGUCAUUGAUAUUCUGACUCCUUCCAUUUUAUUGUAGGUCCCAGAAUUCAGUGUGGCUCUGUGUUUGUGUCUGUUUUGUUCUUUAGCAGUGAGGAUCCUCAAUUUUUAACACCUUCAUUAGCUAAUGAAGGUGUUAAAGUUCUGUAGACCUUAAGGUCUCUUUUGAAUGCAUCAGCAUUUUACUUAUAUUUAAUCUCUUGUAUACCUUUCUAUUAAUUUUUUUUAUCUACUGCUCUGAGAGAUUAGGAAGAAUUGUUUAUCUGUUUUAUUGGUUUUAUAUGUUAUGCUUGUGUCAAGUAUCCAUACUGCAUUGAUUAUAUUGGAGAAUACACUAAAAUAUUCCAGACAUUUUUAUGUUAUUGAUGAUAAAGCAUGAGGAAAAUUCAUGUCUGGAUUUAAUUAAGACAAGAAAAAACAGUCUGCAUAGUCAAAGUGUCUGUGUGCUGGACUGUGACAUCUGCAAUACAGAGCAGGGGCUUUUGGAAACAUAAAAUCAGACAGAAAUGAUUAACCAGUAAACACCUGUAACUAAAUAAAAUAUUGCACUACUGUGGUGAUCCACCAUGUCUGAGUCUGCAAAGAGUUACUGGAGAGAACUGGAAAAAGAUGACCACAUCCCUCUGUGACAGAAUCAGUACCAAGUGUGAGCUGACGGCAGCUUCCACUCUCUACAAGUUCCAGUCAUCAGCAGCUUUAGUCAACAAAUAGAAGUUUUCUGGACCAAGUGUUAAAGAUGUCAAUAAUAACAGUCACCUGGGAUUCUGUAGUUUAUUGUGAUGAGUAUCCAGAUAAGUUGGACUGGUCAAUUCAAUGUACAGCACUACUGUUCUUUCAGUUCUACCUAAGAAUAACACAGUGAUGAGCAGAGCCACAGCAGUAAACAAUAGCAACAGGACUGUGCAGCAACAAGCUCACCCACACCAGCCACUUGCACUAAAGGGAAAAUCACAAGCACAUGUCUGAAUUUACACACUAAAAACAUACAUGCAAGCUGUGGAAAAAAGCUUACAGAUUUUCAAGCAAAGAGAAGCUAUGUUAGCUAUACAUCAUAUCACACAGCAAGGGUUAAACAACCAGUUUGGAAUAUCUGUGGCUGAUUUUGAGAACUUGACCAAAAGAUCACCUCCAAAACUUUCUUUAAUUUUAAAUUGAUUUCCAUUUGAGCAGCAGAGAUGAUGUCAAUACCAGAAGAACAGAAUCCUAUCAGUUAAUCUUAAUAAGAUGUACUUAUUGAUCAACUAAAAACAAGAUCAAUAAGUUAAAUUUACAAACAAAGCUAUGGUCACUUAUUUCUGUUGAUCAAUUAAACUCAGAAAUAAAUUUGUGAAUUAAUAACACAGUUUCUUUAAGGGCAGCAUAAGUUUUGGGGCAAUUUUGUUCCACUGACUCAAUUUUGUUUGACUUUAUAUCUAAAAUGAAAGGUCUUUUGAACACGCUGUAAACAAAAUAUUGUUUAAGAUUUCAAGUGACCAUAACGUUACUGCUAUUACUGUUACUCUCCUCAACGUAUUGUUUGUACUCAUCUUAAAUAAGUUGAAUUAACUUUUGGAUAAGAAAUGUUUAAUAAGUUAUUCUUUUUAACUUGAGUCCAUGUAAAACAGUUAAGUAUUUGACUGGCCAACAAGGUAACCCACAAUACAUUUUACCACCACCAGCUGCAACUAAUUAAACCACCUUUUUAUUUGUCACAAAAAAUAGUUUUUAGAUGCUUAAGGUAGACUCUAAAGCUUCAUCUAUGCAGUCAGUUCAUCAACAACUCUAUCAGCUAGUUUAUGAGAUUUAACAGCACACAGAACUACUACUCACCAUGACCGAGUUGUAUGUUUAUUUUCAUGACCACCCUAGUCUGCCUUAGGUGCCACCUCCCAAAAUUGACUCAUUUUUUGUCAUUAGUUAUUUCUUUGUCUAAAUUAUAUUAAACCAAUAUUUUGGUUUCUAUAUUUUCUGUCAAAGUUCAGCAGAGAAACAAAUAAAAAGUAAGGAACUGUUUCAAUGAAGUUGUUUUCUUUUUAUGUAUCUAAUUUCUAGGGGGAAAAAAAAAUUAUGUUUUGGUCAUUGUUUAAGCAAAUACAACAUACUCAGAUUAAUUAAAUUAACUUAAAUUAUGUUUACUAAAAUUGCAAAAGUUAUUGUUGCUCAAUCAGUACAGUUUUGAAAACAAUUUGUUUAAGCAAGUUUGUAUAUGCUUUUAAAGUAAACUCCACUUAUUUCAUUUCAAGCCCCCUGGCUUAAAUCAAAAUAUGCCAGAGGUAUAAAAACUUUAAACACAGGCUAAUAAACUAAGAAUUCUAGGCUGUUUUUUCAAGUUGAUGUUUUGUUCAUAUAAGCAAUCAGGCCCCUGCUGCGCAAUUAACUCGAUGCACUGAUCUAGAGCAUUCUAAAUACCACUGUAUUUUUCUACACAUUUACUUCUCCAGCCAUGCUGGCUCCUUUAAAUUAGAAACACCUCUCAUUUCACCAGACCAAUCAGACUGGAGAUUGGCUACGGUUCAGAUGAAGACAAAAAACAUAUUUUGAUUGGCUAGUAAAGAUUGGUACAUUUAUCUUGACCAAACAAAUUGUUUUUAAUAGAGUUGCUGUGGUGUCCAAAAAGUGGAAACAAAUUUAUAAUCCUGAGAUAAAUAACAGUGCUUGGGGUCAAAGCACUAUAAUGAGUUACCUGACAGAUUCGAAUGGCGUUGUCCAAAAUUGUUUUUGUAUCAGUUGUGUAGUCACUACAUGGGAGUUGGGUGUGGCUGAAGUGUGCUUGCAGCAAAAGAUGAGUCUUGGUGUGUGCACUGUCAAAGGAGCGGGGGUUGACCUGCAGAGGGAGCUGCUGAGCUAGCUGGCUGU